UACAAGAUGGAUGAGGGCAAAACCUACGUAAACGUGAGGUUUGCAGAAACGGAUGCACAGUCUCCUUCCAACGCUGAACCUGAUGUAUCGUACGUGGAUCUUAAUCUCAGGACCAUCUCUGUUCCCCGGCUCCGGACAGGUGGAGACGGUCUGAUCUCCACCUAUGCAGAACUGAACUUUUCGAAAGCCGAACCCCUCAUUGCUGAGUUUGAGGAUCACCGCAACGUCUCGC